rnacentral:rRNA from 3 species
UUCGACCUCAAAUCAGGUAGGACUACCCGCUGAACUUA